rnacentral:rRNA from 1 species
ACGGAAGGCAGCAGUGGGGGAUAUUGCACAAUGGGGGAAACCCUGAUGCAGCGACGCCGCGUGAGUGAUGAAGUAUUUCGGUAUGUAAAGCUCUAUCAGCAGGAAAGAUAAUGACGGUACCUGACUAAGAAGCACCGGCUAAAUACGUGCCAGCAGCCGCUGUAAUACGUAUGGUGCAAGCGUUAUCCGGAUUUACUGGGUGUAAAGGGAGCGUAGACGGCAUGACAAGCCAGAUGUGAAAGGUGGGGGCUCGACUCCCAAGCUGCAUUUGGAACUGUCAAGCUAGAGUAUCGGAGAGGUAAGUGGAAUUCCUAGUGUAGCGGUGAAAUGCGUAGAUAUUAGGAGGAACACCAGUGGCGAAGGCGGCUUGCUGGACGAUAACUGACGUUGAGGCUCGAAAGCGUGGGGAGCAAACAGGAUUAGAUACCCUGGUA